CUUCAAGAACUUCAAGCAAGUCCAGUUGCCUUCGCAUAGCACAGAAUUAUUCCCCUUGGCUCCUCCUUCAGUAUUUCUCACUCUCCUACACCAAAAGUAUCCAGUGACAUUAAUACCAACAGUGGUAUAGUGGUG